GUGACAACGAGAGGAGGUUAAUCCAAACUGCAUCGACUGCAGGCCUGUGCACAGCAAAGCCACACUGGCUUUGUUUAUUACUGGCUUAAGAGGGAGCACAUGGAGAGUUACCACAUCUCAGCUAAUAUAUGGAAACCACAUCUGUUCAAGCUGGCAUGGAGGACUGUUCUCAGGAGGAGCGAGAUGCAGAGUUCAAGGGAACUGCCUGUGAAGACACAUGGUGACGGCGCUGGGUUAUAUAAUGUGCCUUGGUGUGAGGAAGCUCUUUGUUCUAUUUACAAAUCCCUGUAUUACUGACAAGGAAACUUUGAUGGCUGCCUUCCAAAGACAACAAUGAAGAAAGAAAGAAAGAAAGGUUUUACAAGUGUAAUUACAAAGCAAUUAAAUGUGGGAGCAGUGAGGAAGACUGUACCAAGGAACACAGCCUAUUUGUUUGAAAACUCCACAGGUGCUGGUUACAGCUUUGAAACACCAAGGUUAUUGUGUCUGAAGAGUAUUGUUUCAUCCACAAAGAGGUCAAAUACCGGAGAACAUUCUUGGAUAUUAUGUGAGAUUUAAGUGAGACUUGUUCCUCAAAGACUACCUUAUAAACCAGUUUAUCUGAUACAAAAGCUCCCAAACCCUGAGAAAACUCAGGGUGAGAUUGGAAUAUCAAGGGAGAGGCCACAAAAUCAUUAAUAUUGCAGAGUAGAGGGAUAGAGAAUGAAUAAUCACUAUUUGCUAUAGCAUGAGAACACUGAUUUUCAUUAAAAAAACAAUCACAGUCAUUUUUCUCUGCAGAAACAGGCUUUUAUUAAAUAGAUUCCUCUAAGCCAAUCUCUGAGACUCUGCCUCUACCAUUCACUUUUCUGUACUCCUCAGUAAAUAUUUAGACUGAAUGGUGUAGUGCUGUAAUGUCCUCUGGGAAUAACCCUUGGUACCUGUCACUAAAUCCAUUCUGUAUAUUUUCUGGUGAACAGUUUGGCUGUAGAGUAGAUGCUGUUCUUGAUAUUCAAUGAAAAAUUUCCCUGAGUACUUUGGGGAAGAAAAGCAUUUAUUUGGUAAAAGCACAUUAUAAAGAAUUAUAAGGUAGGGAUAGUCCUUCCAAGUUUUGUUCAAACUCCAUUUCAGACAUCAGGAGUCCUUUAUCUCAGCUCUCUAUCUAGGAAAAUAUUUACCCAUUAUAAUGACCUAAUCACAGGAAGGGGCCAGGGCCCAAUUUUCUCGUUUGCCUGCCUGUCUCAUUGUGGGGUGAGGCUUGAUGCAGGGUGUGUACCAGUCCCAGAUCCCUGUGCAGAGCCUGCAUUUGGUGCUCAACACCAACAGCAUUAACCAAUGCAAUGCUCUGGGUGUUGGGGACAGAGUCUGGGUGCUCUCAAACGCUGCCUUGUGAUAUUCAGCUUCUCCAUCAGGGCCUUCCUACCAUUUGGGCAGCAUGGCCACCUCAUCUAGGAAUCUGUGGAGCAACACCAGUGCUGCUAACGCAAGGCUGAGUAGUUGUUGUAAAGAAUGAAUGAAAGAUCUUAACUGAAAGACAUGUGAACCAUUCUGCUUAGGACAAAAGCAGAGCAGAAAAGGGCCCAGAUGAAGUCAUGGACAUUCAAAGAGUUGAGCUGCUGUGUUUCCACAGGUGAAGUUGCAAGCUGAUCCCUGUGUAAUAAGAUAGGGUGGGAAAGGUUAUAUAAUUAUGUUGCUUGUUGCCUUAAGUCUUCCUUCUCUGUAAUGCUUAAUAAAAAAAAUUCUUCAAGGAUAUAGGUUAUUAUCCCUGAUCAGGUGCCCAAAGGGAGGAAACAGAGGAUGGUAAACAGCUGACACAUGGGUGUAGACAGCUUUUGAUUUAAUAGUGGAGAAAAGUGGCAUUUUUCAGUCUGUGUUUGGGAGGGGUGAGAUGUUAACAGGUGAGAUGGGCCUCCAGAAGUUCUGCAAAUGCUGGAACCUUGUGGCUGAAAUAUAGACAAGAUAAUGCAAAUACCAAUUGAUUUUUUUUUUCUUUUCCCUGCAGUAGGUGUGGGACUAAGAAACAAAGGUGGCACCAAAAUGUCACCUUUCCUGAAGCUUUGGAGCCAUGUGACUAUCUCUAAAAGCUCUGUGCAGAUCAGGUAUUUGUAAACAUACUGCUUCAGGCUCACAAACUCAGCCAGCCCUUGCUAGGAACCUUACCACAUUCCUGGAGCUGUGGUGGCUGUGGUGUGUCUGUAGCAUCAAACACAUACCCGAAGUGUUCUGAGAGAGGGGACAGAAUAUACAUAGGUGGCUCUGACAUCUUAAGGAUUUGCCAAGGCGCCAGUGAGAUCCUAAGGUUUCUCCAGUGCAGCCACAAUCUCAGUGUUCUCAGGUUAUUACUUUGAAGGAAAGAUGGUGCUUCCAGCACACAUUUACUCUCAAAUUGCCCACUAAAUUAGAGACAAUUUGGAAGAGAUCUAUGAGCAAUCUGGUUUAGCUCUCUGCAGACAUUCCUCUCCAGCCACAAGCAGCUCAUGAGCAGUUUGAGCCCAGCUCCAGUGCCAGGGAUCUGUCACCUCACUGGCAGCGGGGCUGGGCUGUCUCCUUGGUGAUCCAAAUUUUUGAUGGUGUGAGGAAAUGCGCAUUCAGGGAUGGCUGAGCUCAGGGAUACUGAGGUGCCCUGCAUUGCCUCUGUGUCCCAAAGUGGGGUGGAGGAAAUGGAGCAGCCUGUGGGCAGAGAUGCUCUUGGUCAAGGUCAAACGUGGACUGAAAUGGGUCUAUAAAAAUUCUUGAGUCAGUCCAUACUUAUGUGCUAUAAGGUAUACAGAGUUCUGAGGGUAAGUAAUGGAGGUAAGGAGUCCAUCAUUUUCAUAGCCCAGAGUGAUCUCCCAGAGCCUAGGGAAGGGCUGCUGUCUCCUUUUAUUGAUGGUGCACUGAGGCACAAAGCUCCAGAGUACUGGGGAGAAACAUGUUGGACAAAUGUUUCUCAUUAAGAAAUGUUUAUUUGUCAGACAUGAUUCCUUUCAUGUAGUGUGUGUGGGAGUGUAUCCAUUUUAGCAAGAUACUCUAGGAAAUGUUUUCUUGGAGUCAGCUUGGAAUUCCUGGCUGAAAUGGUCCUUCGUUGUGGCAUGGUUAUUCCUGGGCUGGCUGGGAGUCUGUAGGUCAGAUCUUGGAGCUGAGGUUAGCAAGGUGGGGAAUUAAAACAAGAAAAACUGAUUCUCAGUCACUUCUGGCACUGUGAUUUGUUUUUCACUGCAUGUUUUUUGUCCUUUGUUACAAGGGAGAAAGUCCUCCAAAAUGUUGAGAAGUUCUGUUUUUGUCACAGUAGAAAUGAGAAAGAUUCCAGACUCUCCAAGAUAUUGGCAAAUGGUGGAAGCUUUUCCAGCUCAGUUCAAGCUGCAGUUUUUCCCAAGUCCCACAUCUGUUCUGUUGCAGAGCUGCAUAUUUAACCCUGCUUUUCUGGAUAAAAAAUUAUGUAAAUAAAACAAUUUGCUUUUGAAAACUAUCAUUGCCUAAUCACCUGGUGGAGAAAGGGCAAAACUGACAGCCAGAAACUGGAGACCCAGCAGCAAUGUCCUCUCCUGUUAACUUCAUUGUCCUUCCUUUUGACUUCAUUGUCCUCUGUUUACAAGCUGGUAUGUCAGAUUGGUCACAAUUCCCAAGGCAGUUGUUUACCAAACUAAAUACUUUUCUUUACAUAAUUUUCUUUGUAUAUAUCUUUAGUAUAAACCAAAUUAACCUCUUGCUUCUUCAAGGCUUUAAAUAAUUUAGGACCUCUGUAGGUGUUUUGAAGCACUCCACACAGGACACCUCCUGAGCCAGCAAAUCCAGAGCUUUGCUGUUGCACAGGGCACUGUCUGAUGGCACAUGGGAUUUGGGCUACCUAACAGCCCAACAUCAACCUCAAGUUACUGGGAACAUCCACCUCAAGUUACUUGUCUUUGCCAUUACCAACUGCACAGCUGAUUUCUUUGAUUUCUUAAACGCUUCUCAUCAAUCCUGUUCUUCACUCAAGUCUGCCCAAAGGCUCAGAAAGCGAAAUGGAAAUGUCCGGAGGUCAAGCACAGAAAUCAAGUUUUGUUCAGAUGAAAAAUAUCAAGAGAGAAUGUGCUACCUCUGAGUAGGGUGGCCAGAGGGUCACUGGCUUAUUUUGCAGUCUUGCCAACAAACUCCUCUUGGAUCUGUUGUUCAAUGCAGUUCCGACUGAUUUUCAUCCAGAAGAGCUCUUCAUAUUUUAAUUUUGGUUUCCUUUUCCUUUGUUCAUUGUGAAUUAUUUAUCCUGUGUUUCACCAAGGGAGUCUAAUUUUCUCAUCUUCUCCCUUCCUAAUAUUUAAGAUCUCUCUAGGUGUCUCUGCAAUACACCCAUGUUCCCUGAUUGAAGGAGUUGCAGACAAAACCCGCAGUUAGCAUUUUUAGCUUGCAGAGAUAAAUUUUUGUGGCUGUAUACAUUUCUAUGUGCUGUAACUCUAUUUACUUUAGCAGAAGAGUCCUUAAGAUUGACAAAUGAAGAAACAUAUUUAAAAUAUGUAUCUUGCAAAUGUGUUAAUGCCUAUCUAGGCUAUAGGUCCCUGUGGAAAUAAGAAGAGGCAU